rnacentral:rRNA from 2 species
GUGUGAAUUGCAGGACACACUGAGCACUUACUCUUUGAACGCACAUUGCGGCCUCGGGCCUUCCCGUGGCUUCGUCUGUGUGAGGGUCGG